GCCCCGGUAGUGUAGCGGCCUAUCAUACGGGACUGUCACUCCCGUGACUCGGGUUCAAAUCCCGACCGGGGCG
rnacentral:tRNA from 1 species